GUUGUGGAUGUUGGAGAUCAAGAUCCAUUGCCUGAAGUAAUGGAGUUUGCCGAGAUGAGUCAUGCUGGUCAGAGUAAAAGUUUGAUGGUUGAUAUAGAUUGGGAUUAUCUUGAUGGCUUAUGACUGGAUUCUGCAGAAGAGGAUUUGAUGUUAGGGCUUCUGUUGAAACACAUGCUUGUUGAGGACUUGAAACAAAGGUAUCCGUAUCUGGUGCAGGUGGUAGUGCACUUGGAAAUCCAUGUUUCUUAGAGCUUUUUUCUUUCAUAUAUUUCA
rnacentral:misc_RNA from 1 species